GACGAACGCUGGCGGCGUGCUUAACACAUGCAAGUCGAACGGAAAGGCCCUGCUUUUGUGGGGUGCUCGAGUGGCGAACGGGUGAGUAACACGUGAGUAACCUGCCCUUGACUUUGGGAUAACUUCAGGAAACUGGGGCUAAUACCGGAUAGGAGCUCCUGCUGCAUGGUGGGGGUUGGAAAGUUUCGGCGGUUGGGGAUGGACUCGCGGCUUAUCAGCUUGUUGGUGGGGUAGUGGCUUACCAAGGCUUUGACGGGUAGCCGGCCUGGGAGGGUGACCGGCCACAUUGGGACUGAGAUACGGCCCAGACUCCUACGGUAGGCAGCAGUGGGGAAUAUUGCACAAUGGGCGGAAGCCUGAUGCAGCAACGCCGCGUGCGGGAUGACGGCCUUCGGGUUGUAAACCGCUUUCGCCUGUGACGAAGCGUGAGUGACGGUAAUGGGUAAAGAAGCACCGGCUAACUACGUG
rnacentral:rRNA from 1 species